UAACCAGAGAACAGAGGGUGAGGAGCCAGCAGUGAGAGCAGGAGAAAUAUUUUCACAGCGUAUUGAAGUGACUCAGAUGGCUGAUGUAACUAGAUUCGAUGAUAACUUUACAAAGGUCAACCUGCUCUAGCUCUGACAGCACAUUUUCAACCUGGACUACAUUGGCCUGUGCUUGAUGGAACUGUGCAGAGGCAGAUUAACUCCGUAUGUAAACCAUGAUCAAGCUGUGUUUGAGCCAUAUCCCGGCGCUGGGGUGUUUAGGUUUCUUCCUGCUUGUCGGAGACUGAGCCCCCACCUCUGGCAGUGCUGACUUGGAUUUAGUAGCUGGAAGCAGUGGACGUUUCGUAGGAUUGGUGUCUUUGCUCGACAGCUUCCCUCGCUGAGCCGUUUUACUGGUCAGGUUCAAGGCUGAGGCAGCAGCAGAUGGCGGCUGUUCUGUUGUCAUUCGUCUUCCCUCUUUAACUGCCCCCUCACUUGGCACCUUUUUCGUCACCAUUUUGGUGGGCCCAUCUGUUGUUUUCUUAGCAAGAAUAUUGCUCUUUCCCAAGUCAGCUGACCUCCGACUCUCUUUCUGCCGCAAUGCUGACCGAAAGAACGACAGUCCUUUGUCAUCUGAUUUGCUGCUGUCCCUUCUCAAGUCAGUCCUCGAGCUAGUAUCGGAUGAUUUUGCUUCUGUCAUGGAGGAGCUGCUGCUCGAAUUCCUCAGUCUCCUGUUCUCCAAACGGCUUCCUGAUUUAGCAUGUGACAACCUGCUUGUGCUGCUAGCUUUAGAAGAUGAUGUCAGCCUACGCUUUUCAGGAGAAGGGCUGCGUUUCGAACGACCCUCAGAAGUCUUGGACCUUCCUGGCACCUUUUUGCGUGUUGGGGAAGGAGACUGUGGAGAAGGCAAAACCAGCUUUGCUUUCUGCUGAUACACUGAUAACGCUGACUCUUGACUUUUAGCUGUGUCCCUUCGAAGAACAGAGUUUGAAGAAGAAUGUCGGGCUCUCACUUUUGAUUCUGCCUUUUCACGAGUGACAGAAGCCUUCUGGGGAUU